rnacentral:rRNA from 1 species
AACGUAGGAGACAAACGUUAUCCGGAAUCACUGGGCGUAAAGGGCGCGUAGGCGGCCUGAUAAGUAGGGGGUGAAAUCCUGCGGCUUAACCGCAGGGCUGCCUUCUAAACUGUCAGGCUAGAGCACGGUAGAGGCAGAUGGAAUUCCCGGUGUAGCGGUGGAAUGCGUAGAGAUCGGGAAGAACAUCAGUGGCGAAGGCGGUCUGCUGGGCCGUUGCUGACGCUGAGGCGCGACAGCGUGGGGAGCAAACAGG